rnacentral:rRNA from 1 species
CGAGGUGGUGCUAAUCCUAGAAAAUCUUCGUAGUCCGGAUUGGGGUCUGCAACUCGACUCCAUGAAGUCGGAAUCGCUAGUAAUCGCGAAUCAGCAUGUCGCGGUGAAUACGUUCUCGGGUCUUGUACACACCGCCCGUCACACCAUGGAAGUGGAUUGCACCAGAAGUAGAUAGUUUAACCUUCGGGAGGGCGUUUACCACGGUGUGCUUCAUGACUGGGGUGAAGUCGUAACAAGGUAGCCGUAGGGGAACCUGUGGCUGGAUCACCUCCUU